GGUACCUUAGCUCAGUCGGUAGAGCAAUGGACUGAAAAUCCAUGUGUCCGUGGUUCGAACCCGCGAGGUACCACAA
rnacentral:tRNA from 1 species